UAGAGCUUUCUGUUAGACAGAGGAGGUGCAGCAGCGUUUCAGGAAGGAAGAAGAGAACUGGGACCCACAAAGAGCUUCCAGCUGUGCUUUCAAUGGAUUUUAAAAUUGAACACACUUGGGAUAGUUUACCAGUAUCCCAUGAGCCAGUAUGGAUCCGGCUGAGUCCAGGUGAUGGAGGAUUGAUGAUGGAAGUGAAGGCUCCAUUUUUUAAUGAUCCUCCAGCCCCACAUGCAGAGCCAGGAAAGCCUUUUGAAGGACUGUGGGAUUAUGAAGUGGUGGAGGCAUUUUUCUUGAAUGAGAAAACCCAACAUUAUAUGGAAGUUGAACUUUGCCCCCAUGGACAGCAUUUGGUGAUUUUACUAUUUGGGAGAAGAAAAUCUUGGAAACGAGAGCUUGCUUUAUCAUUUGAGGUGUCCAGACAUAAGAAUACGUGGGAAGGUAAAGCUCAUCUUCCUUGGAGUUAUUUUCCUCCUGGUGUAGAUAAAUUUAAUUCAUUUGCAAUACAUGGAUCAAAAGCUGGAAGAACUUAUGAAGCACUUUACCCCAUACCACAAGAUGAGAUAAAAAAGGGACAAGAGCCUGAUUUCCAUCAUCUGGAAUACUUCAAGUCUUUUAGUUUGAAUACAAUUUUUGGAGAGGAGUGGAAACAGCCCGAAUCAGACCUUUGGAUGUCACAGAAGCCUACUGCAGAGGAGAAUAAAUAAUUUCAUUUCUGUUUUCUGCCUUCUUGAAAAAUCAACAAAUUACAAGCUGCAACCUCUUAAAGGAAACUGAACAUUUGAACAAUACAUAUUUGCAAAGAUGAUUUUGAAAAGUGAGUUUUUCAAAAGCUACAUGACAAACAGAACUAAUAGUCUUGGAGCUGAUUUUCCCCAGUGUUUUAGGAAGGCACCUUCAUUCAUCAACUGAAAUGCUGUAUGAAGUUGUAUUGGAGCCAAGUUAUAAUGCAAAUAAAUGAUUAAGUCAACUGUGAAUUUUGAUCAUACAUAUGAUAUAACUAAGAAAGCGGUGACCUGCAAGCAAUUAAUCUACUGGGAGUAUAGUACAUAUUUUGGCCAUCAAGUGGUGCUACCCUUGGGCCACCAAGUCUGACUGUUAAGAGGGCACUUAAUCCACAGCUGUGCAGAGGAUGAAUUGGAAAGG